GUGGUAAUAGCAUUGGGGAUCACCUCUUCCCAUUCCGAACAGAGAAGUUAAGCCCAAUCGCGCCGAUGGUACUGCAGUAAAAUGUGGGAGAGUAGGUCGCCGCCUCCU
rnacentral:rRNA from 1 species